GUAAACACCUAUCUCAAGUGCAAUUGUACUUUUCCCAUUGAAGUUGUCAUGAGUGCCCGCAAUGGUUUAAGCCACAUUCAUUGCAUUAUUGGCCAAUUAUAUUUACUGUUCUUCAAUGAGGGACGUAAUGAAUGGCCAAUGCUCAGUCACUCAUCUCUGAAUAGAAUACCGGUUACCAGGGAUACCGAGAGAGGAGAGAGGUAUUUUGAAUGACGUCAAUAUGCAUUGAUACUCUAUUAUCGACAAUAAUGACUUCCCCGGGACCAUACGCGCAUGAUAAGAGGUCUAUUCUGAAGUAGGACGAGGAGGUGCUCGUGCUGAGGAAAAGACAGCUUCUGUAGGACUAGUCCACACAGGUCGAGAAACCAGUAAGAGCAGAAGAGAGAACCCAGCGGUGGAGCAAACCAAACAUGCAUAUGAAGGAUGAAGCAUCACAGUGAAAAUGCCUGAGGGAGCAGGCGUAAUCUAAUUUGGAUUUAGAGACUAUUAUUAGAAAGCAUUAACUAUUGUACUAGACUAAUUGCCUCUCGCGUUCAUAGAGAUGAUGGUUAAGUUUAAUUAAGUUGGUUAACGCCAAGCGCUUGACAGAUUCCUUCGUUGCACAAGGUCAGGUAUGCUGUGCUCUCUAGAAAGCAGUGGUUAGUUGGUACCUACAGGAGGGAAACCCGCUUCAAGUAUUCAUAAGAAUUUGAGCCCUUCUAAAUCUGUGUCCUAAACCGAUUAGUUGACACCAACUUUUCUUUGUUGUAUUAGCUGUGGGCUUUUGCCACUUGGAAGCCAAUUGAAAUUCAAAACAGUUUCGCUCCCAAUGCUUUGGGGAGAUCUGCUGCAAAUAAUGGAUGCUAUUUAUUUUUGACCUUGCAUUUUUUUUAAAUGAAAUGAUUAAACAUACGUGCACUGCGUCCCUCAACUGAACAACUGCACUGAAUUUGCGGAUCCUAUUGCUGACAAUAGCAAUUCAUUUGUAGGUGGCGCAACAUUAUUGUGGCUAUAAAACCUACUAACUAGUUGUAAAAGUAUUAGUGAUUGAAUCAUCACUACUGCUAUUUAUCUGGUGUCAUAAGAUGUUUUGG
rnacentral:lncRNA from 1 species